UACGGAGGGUGCAAGCGUUAUCCGGAAUCAUUGGGUUUAAAGGGUCCGCAGGCGGUCUUAUAAGUCAGUGGUGAAAGCCUACAGCUCAACUGUAGAACUGCCAUUGAUGCUGUAAGACUUGAAUUCGGUCGAAGUGGGCGGAAUAUGACAUGUAGCGGUGAAAUGCUUAGAUAUGUCAUAGAACACCGAUAGCGAAGGCAGCUCACUAGGCUUGGAUUGACGCUCAGGGACGAAAGCGUGGGGAGCAAACAGG
rnacentral:rRNA from 1 species